GACCCGGGGGCGCGGACCGGGGGAAGGAGGGCUGCCGGGGACGUGCCUCGUGCGGAGGUGACCGUGACAAAGGACCAAGGAGGGGACCUGUCGGAGGCACGGGGUCCAUUAGGACCCCUUCUUUUUUCAAAGCGCUGCGCUCAGGGAGGGAGAGAAGAGGGAAACUGUGGGGCUGCGGGCCCCUUUCUUCAGUUUUCUUUCUGGGCAGGAAUGGGGUCUAGCCCGCUCUGUCGUCCCCGCUAGUUCCCUUAGGAGGAUGCACUUUCGGCGGGGUCCGCCUGCCCAUCUACUUGUCUUUGAUGCUGACCAGAGCCGACCGCGGUGCCGCCCCCGAUGGCGGCUGGGGGUAGAGGGAGGCCAGUGCUUGCAGUCCUAUAAACACUGGGGUUCUGGUAUUCCCAGCAAGUCGCAGCAGGGCCGGGAGCUGUGGUGGGGCGGGCGGGCGCCCGAUCCCCCCUCUCCGCCCCUCCAUCCCUGGCUUGCCAGUGCAGCCCCAAGCCCCAGCAUGGAGAGACCUCCAGGCCCCGGGAGCGACCAGACUGCGGAUAGGGGCAGCUCUGGGCGCUGACAUUCCCAAGUCCUGGGCGCGACCCCUCCUCAGAGUGAUCUGGGAGUAGCAUCCUGGUUGUCUGGGUUCCUUUCCUGGUACUCACAUCUGCUUCUGUGGCCACCUCCUGUUUCAGCCCUGUGCCCUUCCCUCUCCUUUUCCCUUCCAUCCGGUUGCUUCUCCAGCUCUUCUUGGGGCACUUGGGCUUUGGAUUCAGAGGGUCCUGGAUCCCAAGCCCAUUUCUUCCACUGGGCAAGUAAGUGCCUUCUGCUCCCAGUGCCCCACUUUCCUCAUCUGCAAAAUAGGCAGAGUCAUAGGUGCCUUGCAAGGUGUGUUACUCAGAUAUGAAGUUUAUAAGUUCCCAAGAGAUGUUGUAUCCGCAAGCCCUUUAACUUGUGGGUUGUCAUAUUGUCUAAAUUGGAAUAAAGCAUGUAUAAAUUAGAGGUUACAGACUGAAACUGUCCCAGACUUCCAUCUCCUCACAGCAUCACCCCCGCGAAAGCAUCCUAUUUACAAAAGAAAAUAGUAGAAUCAGCACUUAAAUUAAGGCAGGGCCCUAGUGGCUUCAAGUAACCCUAUCUGAACCCCUGUCUGAAAUAUUGCAGAUGACCUGCGUUCAAUUGCUACCUCAGCCACUUAGUAACCGUGUGACCUUGAGCAGGCUAUUUAAAGUUUCUGGGUCUUGAUUUCUUCAUCUGUAAAACAGGUAUAAUAAUAGAACCUACCUUAAGGUAGUGAGGAUUAAAUCAGCUCGUGUUUGAAAAGUCGUUGGGACAGGGCCUGGUACAGGAACCGCUGAAUGAGUGUUAUUCAGCUCAGAGUUUAUUCCUGUACAUCCCGCCCAGAUCUGGGGUGAUUCUGCCUGGGGUUAGGACAGGAUUGGGGUGUUAGUUUGACUGUAGCCCCUUGGGUGCUUCAGCUUGUGAAGUCAGGAUAAACAGGUGUAACCAGCCCCAGGCCUGCUGCGUUGCUACUUCUGUUGUGGCCACAACUCCCUUUGCCCUCAGACCCUCUCAUUUUUGGGAGAAGGCAAGGUGAGAUGGGGGCAGAUGCUCCAAUGGACUCCACUUAUGUCCUUGGGAAAGCUGGGCUAGCUCAUGGGACCAUGUCAAAAGACAGUAGGUUUCAUGUCCAACUCUGGAACUGGAUGGUACAAUGACAGGGUAGCUAGAAGGCAAAACUGGAGAGCAGUAGGGGCAUCGAGGGGACCUGCUUCCCGAGGAGCAGCUAGAAUACUUGGUUAUUAUUACCCAUGCAGCUGCAGGACCUGGCCCACUUCUACAAGCCUGUGACUGUUCUCAGACUUCUGUCACACGCCAGCAUUCACCUGUCAGGGCUGCUGUAGGCGGACUUGCAUUUUGUGCACUGUACCAAAGUGCCCAGCUGAAGGCUGAGAGGACCUGAAGUGCAGUCCACACUCAGCUCUCCAACCUGGGAAUCCUGGAGCAAAAGACCCCUUCUGCUAUGUUCUUGGGGCUUGGUCUGCCCAGAGUGGCCCAUUUUUCCAGUCCCACCAAAGCCCUGGAAUAGUGUAGUGGCACCCAGCUACCUGAACUUGUGAGCACGUAUCUAGACUCGACUGAGUUGCCACUAUACCCUGGAGUGCCCCCUCUCUGGGCUUCCUCCUGGCCCUCAUACCCACCUCCCACUCUUACCUACGUGCAGGUCCUAGGACUGGCUGGGGGUCCGGGAGGGGAAUGCCCUGGUAACUGAACAGGCUCACCCUUGAGUGUGGCCUAAGGCGGUUUCCUGCCUCAUCCCAGGGGGCUCAUUAGAUGUUCCUGGCAGUGUGCCCAUCCUGGGCAGGCUCGUGGUGACCAUCGGACGCCGGGUCCAGGGCCCUAGUGCCCUCCCUCACAUGCAUCUUAGGAAAAAGAGUCAUGGAACUGGAGAUUACACACCUCCCUUUCCUCCUGCCACUCACUCCUCUACUGAGUUCCCACCCACACCCCAUAAGGACCCAGAUGCCUAGGGACAGUGGGGCUAUGUCUGUGGUUUAAAACAAAAUCCCUUGAAGUGGAGCAUCCAACUUGCCCUGCAUCUGGGGUCCUUCAUAGGGAACCCUAAUUAUUGUUGAUGAACAGCACAUUCCUGGGGUGCUUAAGAUGCAGGGGGCCAAUUUGUGGCCUCGCCCAGUGGCCAGUAGUGGGAGGAGGAUGGGGGGACAGCCACUAGGGGCUCCACAGUCAGCUGGAAGUCUCUGAAAGGAAUGCUUCAAAGAAGCGUGUGGAAUUUGGGUUCUCUUGUGUUGGAACUACCAUGCAGAGCUCCAUGACCAAAGCCUCAGUCAGGAGCAGGAGUGGUGCUGAGUAGAAGCAAUGGCACCCAGUGCCUCCCAGCCUGGCCACGUGGGGAGAAACAAAACACACCCGCUCUCAUGGUCCUCCAAAGUCUUGUUGGGCCACCUUAUUUGGACACUUAAAGGGAAUUAUUAUUAUCAUUAUUUUGAGAGGGAGUUUCACUGUCUCCCAGGCUGGAGUGCAGUAGCGCCAUCUCGGCUUACUGCAGCCUCUACCACCAAGGUUCAAGUGAUUCUCCUGCCUCAGCCUCUCGAGCAACUGAGACUACAGGUGCCUGUCACCAUGCCUAGCUAAGUUUUGUAUUUUUGUAGAUAUGGAAUUUCACCAUGUUGGCCAGGCUGGUCUCGAACUCCUGACCUUAGGUGAUCUGCCCAUCUUGGCCUCCCAAAGUGCUGGGAUUACAGGCAUGAGCCACCACGCCCAGCCUUAAAGGGAGUUAUUAAUUCCCUCCUGCCCCAGAAGUGCCAGGCGGGAAAGCUCUGGAUGCAGUAUUUCUGAAGCAGAUUGGACAGAAAUCUGUAGGCCUGCAAACUGCAGUCAACAAAACCCCAUUGAGCAGAGAGAAUGGGGCAUUUGGUACAAAUCAGCUGCUUGCCCUCUGGCCCUGGAGGAGGCAGCCAGGGUCAAGGCUGCCCUGGGAAGCCUUGAUGCUGGUCGCUUGUUGAGCCCUCACCCCGGUUACUGGCUUCCCUCCUUGACAUGGUCUCAACUGGACAUGAACGUUUGUCUCCAGCUCUGUCCUAUGGGCCGGCAUCUCUCUGGCUCUGCAGAGGCAAGUGGAAGGCGCUCUAACUGUGGAUGCUCAGAGCCUGGCUUUAUAAAGUAGCUUGCCACCCUUACUAACUGCACAACCUGGGGCAAGCUCCCAGUCUUCUCCAGGCCCAUUUUCACAUUAGCAAGAUAGGAAUAAUGGCCAUCUUCACAGUGUUCUGAGAGGAUUACAUGAAAUAAUGUAUGUAAAGUGUUUGGCAUGGUGCCUGGCACGUUCUGCAUCCAUGGUAAAAAGGUAGCUUCUGCUUUGUUCUAGAAAUCCCCUGCCAGCCUUGCUUGGUGAGGUUAUUUGCAUCCAUUUUGGUACACACUGGUGGUAUGCAGUCCCUCUGCUAGGUGCCAAGCCUGUCGGGCUUAGCGCCUGCCCUGGUAGAAAAGACAAAGCAAAGCCCGCAGGGACUGAUUGGAGGUCAUUAUCAGGGGUCCUGCUUAAUUAUAGCCCAGUUAUUAAGUGCUUCUGAUUCAGCCUUUUCACAGUCCUCCUUUGCCUGAAGAACCUCUUCUGCAUGGGGCUGGACAUGCCUCUGCCUACCUGCUCCUCACUGGUUCUGCUCUGCCUUCUGCACAACCCACAUCCAGCUGGUGUUGAAAUACCUAUUUGCCAACCCAGGAAAGCUGUAGACUUGCACAACUUUUGGGGCACAUCUGGAUAUACCAGCAUGUUCUAGGCAAGAGACAGAGGGUGGCACGAGGCCUGGAGAAAAGGCUAGACUUGGGUCUUGUCAUCAAUCACUCCUUCCUUUAUCUUCUUAGAGCCUGUUGCCUCUCACUCCACCCCCAUGGGUGCUCAGGCUGGCACAGGACUCAGGGGGCCUAUGAUGUGGCCCUCCCUGGGGAUCAGGGGGAAGAGGAACAACACAACGUGAGACUCCUGUGGUCGAGGCCUGCCUUCCCUCAGAUUAGCUUUUUGGGAAAUCUACUGCCUUGGACUGCAUUCUCUGUUUUUCCCCAGCUGGUCUCCCUGCCCCUCCUCUUUACAUUCUGUCCUCCAUGUGCUGGGAGCAGGACCGCUAUCCUGUCUAUAAGAUAAGAUAAUUAAAAGCCUGGUGGCUCUUUCCCUGCUGCCACCAAGUUGUGCAGAGACGGAGGCUCAGGCUCGGGUGCAUUCACGAUUCUGCUUCACCCAUAACCCACUGCCAUGGCCGAGGAAGGCAUUGCUGCUGCAGGUGUAAUGGACAUUAAUACUGCUUUACAAAAGGUGCUAAAGACAGCCUCAUCCACAAUGGCCUAGCACAUGGAAUUCGCGAAGCUGCCAAAGCCUUAGACAAGCACGAAGCCCAUCUUUGUGUGCUUGCAUCCAACUGUGAUGAGACUGUGUAUGUCAAGUUGGCGGAGGCCCUUUGUACUGAGCACCAAAUCAACCUAAUUAAGGUUGAUGACAACAAAAAAAGGGGGGAAUGGGUAGGCCUCUGUCAAACUGACAGAGAGGGGAAACCCCAUAAAGUGGUUGGUUGCAGUUGUAUAGUAGUUAAGGACUGUGGCAAGGAGUCUCAGGCCAUGGAUGUCAUCGGAGAGCACUUCAAAUGCAAGAAAUGAAGAAAACAUCUUUGACUUACAAAAAAAAAAAAAAAAAAAAA